GACGAACGCUGGCGGCGUGCCUAAUACAUGCAAGUAGAACGCUGAAGAGAGGAGCUUGCUCUUCUUGGAUGAGUUGCGAACGGGUGAGUAACGCGUAGGUAACCUGCCUUGUAGCGGGGGAUAACUAUUGGAAACGAUAGCUAAUACCGCAUAACAAUGGAUGACACAUGUCAUUUAUUUGAAAGGGGCAAUUGCUCCACUACAAGAUGGACCUGCGUUGUAUUAGCUAGUAGGUGAGGUAAUGGCUCACCUAGGCGACGAUACAUAGCCGACCUGAGAGGGUGAUCGGCCACACUGGGACUGAGACACGGCCCAGACUCCAACGAGAGGCAGCAGUAGGGAAUCUUCGGCAAUGGGGGCAACCAUGACCGAGCAACGCCGCGUGAGUGAAGAAGGUUUUCGGAUCGUAAAGCUCUGUUGUAAGUCAAGAACGGGUGUGAGAGUGGAAAGUUCACACUGUGACGGUAGCUUACCAGAAAGGGACGGCUAACUACGU
rnacentral:rRNA from 1 species